GACAGAAGGUGCAAGCGUUACUCGGAAUUACUGGGCGUAAAGCGUCUGUAGGUGUCUUGCCACGUCUGGCGACAAAAUGCGGAGCUUAACUCCGCAUCCUCGUCGGAAACGAGCGAGAUCGAGUCAUUCAGAGGCAUCUGGAAUGUCGUGUGUAGGGGUAAAAUCCGUAGAUACACGAUGGAACGCCGAAAGCGAAAGCAGGAUGCUGGGAAUGCACUGACACUCAGAGACGAAAGCGUGGGGGAGCAAAGGGG
rnacentral:rRNA from 1 species